rnacentral:rRNA from 1 species
CACCUCUAGCCAAACAACAUAUAUUAGAGGCACUGCCUGCCCAGUGAUUCACUUUAACGGCCGCGGUAUUCUAACCGUGCAAAGGUAGCAUAAUCACUUGUCUUUUAAAUCAAGACUUGUAUGAACGGCAACACGAAAGCUCAACUGUCUCCUUUAUCUAGUUAAUGAAAUUGAUCUUCUCGUACAAAAGCGAGAAUACAUUAACAAGACGAGAAGACCCUAUGGAACUUUAAACGCAAACCAUUUUUAUACCAUUAUAUUCUAUAAAAAACUGAUACACCGUUUUUGGUUGGGGUGACCACGGAGAAAAACUUAACCUCCGAGUAAACAAACACUAAGAAAUAACACAUCAAAGCACUAAAACCUUAGACUUUAUGACCCAAUAAACUUGACCAACGAACCAAGCUACCCUAGGGAUAACAGCGCAAUCUUCUCCAAGAGCCCAUAUCGCCAAGAAGGUUUACGACCUCGAUGUUGGAUCAGGAUUACCAGACAGUGCAACCGCCGUCAAAGGUUUGUUUGUUCAACAAUUAAAAUCCU